UACGUAGGGGGGCAAGCGUUGUCCGGAUUUAUUGGGCGUAAAGAGCGUGUAGGCGGCUAGGUAGGUCCGUUGUGAAAACUCGAGGCUCAACCUCGAGACGUCGAUGGAAACCAUCUAGCUAGAGUCCGGAAGAGGAGAGUGGAAUUCCUGGUGUAGCGGUGAAAUGCGCAGAUAUCAGGAGGAACACCGAUGGCGAAGGCAGCUCGCUGGGACGUGACUGACGCUGAGACGCGAAAGCGUGGGGAGCAAACAGG
rnacentral:rRNA from 1 species